rnacentral:rRNA from 1 species
CCUACGGGUGACAGCAGUGGGGGAUAUUGCACAAUGGGGGAAACCCUGAUGCAGCAACGCCGCGUGUGGGAAGAAGGUUUUCGGAUUGUAAACCACUGUUCUUGGUGAAGAUAAUGACGGUAACCAAGGAGAAAGCUCCGGCUAACUACGUGCCAGCAGCCGCGGUAAUACGUAGGGAGCAAGCGUUGUCCGGAUUUACUGGGUGUAAAGGGUGCGUAGGCGGUCUUGCAAGUCAGACGUGAAAACCACAGGCUCAACCUGUGGACUGCGUUUGAAACUGUGGGGCUUGAGUGAAGUAGAGGUAGGCGGAAUUCCUAGUGUAGCGGUGAAAUGCGUAGAUAUUAGGAGGAACACCAGUGGCGAAGGCGGCUUACUGGACUGUAAAUGACGCUGAGGCUCGAAAGCGUGGGGAGCAAACAGGAUUAUAUACCCUUGUAGUC